UACGGGAGGCAGCAGUGGGGAAUAUUGCACAAUGGGCGCAAGCCUGAUGCAGCCAUGCCGCGUGUAUGAAGAAGGCCUUCGGGUUGUAAAGUACUUUCAGUCGUGAGGAAGGUGUUAAGGUUAAUAACCUUAGCAAUUGACGUUAGCAACAGAAGAAGCACCGGCUAACUCCGUGCCAGCAGCCGCGGUAAUACGGAGGGUGCGAGCGUUAAUCGGAAUUACUGGGCGUAAAGGGCACGCAGGCGGUUAAUUAAGUUGGAUGUGAAAUCCCCGGGCUUAACCUGGGAAUGGCAUUCAAGACUGGUUAGCUAGAGUCUUGUAGAGGGGGUAGAAUUCCAUGUGUAGCGGUGAAAUGCGUAGAGAUGUGGAGGAAUACCGGUGGCGAAGGCGGCCCCUGGACAAAGACUGACGCUCAUGUGCGAAAGCGUGGGGAGCAAAC
rnacentral:rRNA from 1 species